CACUUAAUGUAGAUCUGUUCAGAAAUUGUUUUGUUUAAGAACAAUGGUUUCAGACACAGAGUGAUUUCGAUGAGGUGCAGGGGAUGGCGGGGAAUAACGAAUCGAUGGCAGUCUUUUUACUGUUAAAUUGGAUAUUAUUCUAUAGAUUGUUUUAAAUUGAUUGGGGGCUUGUAGUAUAGAUUGUUAGAUGGUUUAUCAAGAAUUGGAAUGAAUUUGGUUAUAAUGCAGUCUUUUUAAUAUCAAUUUUAAAUUCGUGUUCUUGUCGAGAUUGCUGAUCGAAUUCGUGGAUGGAGGAGUUCAGAGGAGGCGGAGGAUUUGAUGGGGUUUGGAAAAUCAAGUAGUUGCAAUGACCAUGGCUUUGUUGCCGGACCAGGGCGGCGAUUUUGGCAAGAAGCGACACCAUGGCGUCCUUGAUCAUCCUCUCUCUCCUCGCCAUCGCCUCCGCCAAGGUCUUCUUUGAAGAGAAAUGUAUGUAUUCUCUUUUGUUAGUUUCAUGUUCAUUUUUUCUUUACAAAAUUAGCAAAAUCACUAAUUGACUGCUACUACCCUUUUUUCUGUUCUUGCAAAUGCAUAUACCUCUGUUGUGAUCGGAUCCAAACCUUGUGACCAACUAAUUCUUUAUCAGGAAAAAAAAAGAGUAAGUUUUUUUAUUUUCGUAUAGCUCAAGUUGUGAAUUCUAUGCAUCGGUACUGUAGGGGAUACUAGGCUGCUUGAUCGGUGAAAGUUAUGUGUGGUUUACUUGGGUUUUUUUAUAUAGACUUUCUGGAGCUUGUGAAUAUGGUUUUUCAUGUGUCAUACAUUUUCUCACACUUUGAUUUGGAUGUUGGAACGGUUCAAUGCUUGAGGACUAUUUGUAGUGAUGCUAGUUUACUUAAAUGGAACUGGAGCUUCAGAAAGUCAGCAAAUGCAUAAUGUCAAUUGUUUAGUGUUCUUCCCUUUGAUGCUUGAGAACAUAGUCAAAGCUAUUAAGACUGGUCUUUGAUUUAAACUAGUUUUCUAGGCAGAUGGCCGAGCUGAUUGGAGAUGCAGGGAGCUUCAAGACUGUCAUUAUAUGUUUGUGGACCUUAUGGGCAUGGAAAACAAUUGCGAGAAUGAGCUAACAUAUCUAUCAAGUUGUCCUCUACAAUAUUGAAUCAUCAAAUUGCUAUACUCAUGCUCGUAAAACAACUCUAUAGAUCAUGGACCAUUCUAAAAGGACAAAACUAUCAUUGGUAGAUUUCUUCUCCUCACCUGUAAACAUCUAUAUAGGUAAAAAUAUGUGAUAUCCUAACCGGGGGAGCAUUGGUUCAGACUCAGAGAUAUAUACAGACACUCAACCUCGUCAACAUAAAAGAUCAGAGUUCUCAUUCUUAUUGGCAGCAGAUGAUCAUAUCCUUCAGCUUGGUUCAACUGCCCUGUAACACAAUGACUAAAAUCUUAAAGCAGUAGCUAGUAUCCUAUCCCAGAUUCCUAGUCAUUCACUUUUGCUGUAAGCUUUUGUUCUUGCUCUUGUAUAUUGAACACUCGUAUCAAUCACUAAGUUUCACAAGCUUUUGUUCUUCUAAUACUAUGCUGUGAACUCUUCCCUUGUGUCACUUUUGAAUGCUUCUUCUAAAACUAUGAAUUCAAUUACUACU